GGCCAAGAAAGCAGACUUUUCUUUAGUUCCCUGCUCCUAUUCCUCUGUUUCUUCCAAAUAUUCAUUCUCAGCCAUUUACUACCCUCACUUUACUCUCUCUGAAAAUCUCACCUCCUUCCAUAGCUUCAACUAACUCCUAUAUGUCUAUUGCUCACAAAUCUCCAGUUUUAGUCCAGAUCUACAUCUGAGUAACAGAUCCACCUAUCUGCCUACUAAACAUUUCCAUUGAUACGCCCUACAGCUUUGUUAACCACACCAUUCUUAAUGCUGAAUAAGUCCUGCUUCUCUUACUUCUUGCCUUUUCUGUCUCCAUUUGGGCAAUACCAUCCACCCAGAUACUGAAGUAUGAGUCAUUUCUAUUCGUUUCAUUUCCUUUACUACUCUGGUUCUUCCACAUGGCCACUUCAGCCACUGGGACAUUUCUAUUGCAUGUAUUGACCUACAAUUAGUUAUUUGUAUGUUUCUCUCCAUCCCUCACAAUGAGAUUUUCAAAAAUAAAGAGUUAAUAUAACAAGAACUGAAUGGAUUAAGGUGGAGCAGUUAGGGUUGCAGGAUACCAUUUCUGCCAUCAUUUCUUUCAUCUAGUUGACAACAGAUAGUAAAGUUGUGAAACCUGCCUGUUUGAGCUCAGUCAUCCACCAGAAUCAGACACCUGUGUGCUACUAGACCAGCAGCAGCACCUGUUGAGUGUUGAGUGCCCCAGGCAGUUUGGCCUAUGGGAGACCCCGGUAUUUUGCUAAUCCAGAGAUACUUGAGUUAUAUUGUUUAUUUGUGCAAUGGUAUUUUCCUUUAAAAUAUAUUUAACUAAGUAAUCAUUCUGAAUGGCAGUUGAUUUGUAUUCCUAUUAAGAUGCAAAUUUGCUAUUUGAGCCAAGAAAUGUAAUCUCACUUUCUUUUGCCUCAAUAUCACCAUCUAAUAAAAAGAAUAAGCUAUGCACACAUAAUCUGUUAUUUCCUGUUACUUGGUUUACUCUCUUCUACAGGUGCAGGACCCAGGUCAGCAACAACUUUGAAAUAAACUACAGCUCUCCUGUGAGCUAAAGGCAGAAAUGUGGAAAUGUUGAGAAAAUUCUUGUCUGCAUCACAGACACACAUACUCAUGAUUGCCAAUAAUAUCUGUGGUCCUUAGCUAUAACGUACUCAACUUGAGGGUGGUGGAAGAUCUCCAUGAAUACUGAAGUUUGAAUUUUAGCUCCAGAACUUAUUUGCUGUGUGUGAACUUGGGUAACCCAAGAGGAACCGGAUGGGAACAGAGAUGAGAAAGAUAAAGAGAAAAGCUGCAUUGUGCAAUUUGAUUCUCUAUGAUUCUUCUGACAUUUUCAGUGAAAUACAAUAAACCCAAGAAUGUCUGAUAGAGAAAAAUCCGUAUAUGUGCUGCCAUGUUCACAAGAGCCUUUGCAGAUGGUCUGUCCGUAUGCUACAGUAGAGCAAGAGCAGCACCACUGAGCUCCUAGUGCCAGACAGAGGAAAAGAGGCAAGUUGGGAAAGAGAGAGGAAGAAAGGUAUGAGUAAAGUUUGGCAUUGGAAAGAAAACAGCAUCUGUAGAAAAGCUGUAGACAGUUCCGCUUCCUUAAAGUGGAGAGUUAAACUCACCUUUU